UACGAAGGGGGCUAGCGUUGCUCGGAAUUACUGGGCGUAAAGCGCACGUAGGCGGAUUGUUAAGUCGGGGGUGAAAUCCUGGAGCUCAACUCCAGAACUGCCUUCGAUACUGGCGAUCUCGAGUCCGGGAGAGGUGAGUGGAGCUGCGAGUGUAGAGGUGAAAUUCGUAGAUAUUCGCAAGAACACCAGUGGCGAAGGCGGCUCACUGGCCCGAUACUGACGCUGAGGUGCGAAAGCGUGGGGAGCAAACAGG
rnacentral:rRNA from 1 species